GUACAUAAUGGGACACUUCACAGUCACGUUUCCUCAGCCCCUUCUGGACAGGUACAUAAUGGGACAGUUCACGUUUCCUCAGCCCCUUCUGGACAGGUACAUAAUGGGACACUUCACGUUUCCUCAGUCCCUUCUGGACAGGUACAUAAUGGGACACUUCACGUUUCCUCAGUCCCUUCUGGACAGGUACAUAAUGGGACAGUUCACGUUUCCUCAGCCCCUUCUGGACAGGUACAUAAUGGGACAGUCCACUUUUCAUCACAUCCCCCAUGGAAAGUUACAGUCCACUUUAACCACCAACACCCCUUGCCUCCAUAACGUACAUGGGACAGUCUCACAUUUCUUCUAGAAUAAGACAUGACAGUCAUCCACUCCAGUUCACCCAAUGGGAUUCCAACAGAAUGACUUAUUCUACUGCACAUGUCUAAAGCACUGCC
ensembl:lncRNA